CCCCUCUCAGGAUCGCUCCUGGAGAUCUUCUAGUACUCUACCAGUCUCAGCUAUGGGAGGGAGAGUCAAGCAGAGACAUACCCAUUCCAUUCCUACCUUGGCCAAAGGUUAGCGAGUGGAAGGUAAUCUGCUACAAAU